rnacentral:lncRNA from 1 species
UUCCUCCUUGUUCGAGCCUCUUUCGUUGCAGGGUUCAAUUCUUCUGGUUGAGGAAAUCUUAUUCUUCCUUUUUCUUUAUUGUAGAUUUCCUCUUUUUGGAGUAGUGAAAACCGUGAAUCCUAAGUCUUUGUACUUUGGAUACCUUGAUUUUCCAAACUCCUCAGAUGUCUGGUAAAUCUUUCCAUCGUGUUUUGGUCUGCAGGAUGAUUCUCCUUUCUCAAACUUUUGAAAUUGUUUAUGGCACCUCUCUCUUUUUCUUUUUCUUUCUCAUAUUCUUCAGAAUUUAUAUAUUUCUGGGCCUUUGUUAGCAGGUCUUCCAUGCAUUUUACAUUACUAACGUUUAACUUUAUUGCUAAUGGCGUGUUCAUGUCUAGCCCUUUUGAGUAUGCGCAUAUUGCGAUUGUUGUAUUCAGAUCGGAGAUUUUUUGCAUGGCUUCCGUGAAUUUAGUUGUAUAAUUCCGAAGCGUGUCUCCGUUCUGUUUGAUUGCAAACAGUGAUUCCGUGCCCUUUCUGACCCUUGUGUUUCCACAGUGUUGGGCGACGAAUUUCUUU